rnacentral:lncRNA from 1 species
GGGCUCCCGUGUGGUAGAGCCUUCCCAGCCUGAGUCCGGUGCUCAGGCCUGCUGGCCAGCCCCGAGCUUCCAAAGAUACAGCAUGCAAGGGGAGGAGGCACGGGCUGCGCUGCUCCGUCCCUCUUUCAUUCCACAGGAGGUAAAGCUGUCCAUUGAAGGGCGUUCCAAUGCGGGAAAAUGAACCUCUUCCCCAGACCAGGACUGGGGCUUUACCCCAGAGCCUCGCCUCGCCGCCGUGAGCAGGCAGAGGAUUUGCACACGCCGAGCAGGGAAUGGCUUUCUUGGCAGUGAGAUUUGGGGGAAAGGGGAGGCAUGAAGUCAGCCUCCCAAGGCAGGAUCUGUUGUUCAUUACCCCAUGGCAUCCUUUCAGGACAACCCCAGAGGGUGUUGUGAUGGGGAGCAGCAGGCCUGGGGCAAGGAAGGAAGGGGGUGCACACAGGAGAAGAAACAUUCCAAAAUCAGGGCCUCCCUGUUCUUUCCUCCCCAUCCCUAGCUCCUGCAAGAGAAAGUCCAGGCUUUGGGAGCAGAUGGCAGAGGGAGGGAGUAAAGAAAGAGCCAAAAAUGAUGAUCCACAGCUUAUAGUAGCAGUUAAACUGUCAGAAGUUUUUUUUCUUUUUUGUGGUAGAAGGGCAGGAGGCCCCAAGGUUGGAAAUAAGAGGGUUCCCACCCAGAACCCUUCUUGUGAGAGAUGCGCACUUUAAAGGGUGAUUUUGUUCCAGAUGUCUAUGGCUGGGUGUGUGGGGGAGGAGCACUCUCAUCUGCAGGACUCUGCUUGAUCCUCUGCUUCAUAGCCCUUCCCCAUCUCUCCUCACCAUUCUGCCUACAAGGCUUCUAGCAGCACGGGGGCCCGGAGGGAGAGCCCCUUCAGGGUUCAGAGUGAAGUACUACCUUGCCAGGGACUCAGUCAGGGGACUUUGGGAGAAAGACUUGAUAGCCAGGCUGACUGGGUUCUAGGCAGGCCCUCUGGAAAGGUAGCUCACCUAACAAAGCUCCUCCAUCUCAGCAUGCCAGACCCACUUUGAAAUCUCACAGAAUCUUGCUGGUAAUGGUGACUUUAGAACUAGUAGACCCUUUUUCCCAGGCACUGACCCCCCACCUUUGUCUGUGUUGUGCCCAAGUGCCUGCGCCACCCCCACCCUCCUGCUGCGCUGACCGCUGCAUGGUGUCGUGACCUGGGCCUCAUUUGUAGCUGCACUGCCUUUCCUUGUCUGCAAAGUUGGUUUUGUCCACUCUGACCAAGACCUCUAGUUUUUGGUGGGUAGGGGGUCUCUCUGGUUUCCCCUUCAGCUAUAAUCUCUAUUUUUAAAAUCUCAAAAUCAUGUCCCCUCCACUUCCACUGCCAAACAGCUUGGUGAAGAAACAAGAAGGGAACUAUGCCCUGGGCCAGGGCGAAUGCGUGGCUGGGCAGUGCCCAUCAUGGCAUUUUCACAUGUCCCAUAUGCCCCUCCUGUCUUAUUCCACUGCUUCUCCCAGCAUUCUGGUGCCUCCAAGCCAUCCCCUCCCACCACCAGCUCUAAGAUUCUAGGAUAGUCUUGAUAACAUUUCAGUACCUGAAUAGAUGUCAUUUUGUGUUGGUAUAUUCCUCUGCAAAAAGUAUUUUCAAUCUUGGUUGCAUUGGCACCCCCCCUACCCCCCACCAAUGUCUUAAUCCCACAUUUUCUUCACAACUUUUAGCAUCAGCUCAGACCGUGGGGUUCCACUGGGUAUUGGGAAUUAGGCUCCCCCACUAGCUUUCAGGUGGGUAAGUUUUUUUGUUUGUUUUUUGGGGGUCUUUAGACUCUUGAAGGCAACUCAGGGUAUUGUCCACGCAGCUCUCUGGUUAGACUUCUCCCAGGCUAUGAUCCUGGCAUGUCCUUUAUAAGGUAUACUUGGAUUGGCCGAGACCUGGCCUGGCAUCAGGAGUCCAAACCUCUGAGGUCUGAUCUCUGCUCUGUCAAGGACUUUCGGCAAGUCUCGUGACCUCUGGCUCUUUCACUUCCUCCCCACCUGCCAAAUGGGGAUAAAUAAUCUUACCUACCUCCUGGGGGGAGGGGAAGUUCUGAGAAUGGAGUCAUUCUUAGUGUUCAGGUGCUAAAGGUUGUUCUCCUGGGGGAACAGAGUGACUGAAACUGGCUUGUUUGCUACAAGCCCUACCCUCCACUCUUUCAUUCCUUGAAAGCAGUUUGCCUGGUCAGUCAGCUUUUGGGGGUCCAUCAAAGGAGGUUGCUGACCUGACCGUGAGUGCUUCAGUAUCUGGUUUGUGUCAGAACCAGACGCCAACUUUGUACUGCAUUUGGGAUCAUAUCUUUCCCCUUCUCUGUCCCCCAUUCUCUGAAUGCUGCUUUCUCUGGCUUGUUUCCUACAGUGGGGGCCUGUGGGGUUGAGUCUUGAGGAAUCCCCUCAAAUGAGAAGGCCUUGGGAGAAGGCCUCAUCUCUGGCUGUUUCAUGAGCAACUCAUUCCUAGAGUUCAUUGUUUGCAUGGGUUUCUCACAAGCGUCCUUCCUCAUAGGAAGGCUCAUCAACUGAAUUUAGUGACAUGUACACAGUAGAUGCUCAAGCAGUGUCUGCAAGGACACAAGCUGAGCUUUCUCCUUAUGGGGCAAACCUAUGUCUAACCAGAUACAGACCAAUUAGUUUAGAUCAAAUCACCUUCCACUUGGGCUACUUGUGACUUUCCAACCUGGUAACUUCCACUGAAUUCUGGAAAGAGAAAUUCUUGAGGACCCUGGCAAGUUGGGCCCUGACCUUUCUGUUGCUGUCUCUUGCUGGUGAAGCAAUACCAGCAGUUCCUGUAAUACCACAAUAUCGUUCCAUGCAUAUAUAACAUAUUAAUACUUGAUUUUGCUGAGCUGCAAAGGUAUCUGUCAUAAAAUAUGGUCCCCAGGAAAAGAAUCUCUGUGCUCUAAAUCUCGGUCAGAGCUGUGGCCUCCCCCUUGCCUUUAACCUCUAGUUUAGUCUUUUCCUCCAGGCAUGAAAAAUAUGACUAACCUGUGGUGUGUCCAUUCUUCCUUAUAGGAAUUUCCUGAGUUUGCAGGAGACAUGAGAGCAGUUUUUAGCGAGUAUUUUAGUGGGAAGUUGCCAACUUUUUAAGAAUGAGCAGUUGACAAGGGCCAGAGCCUGUCCCUUGUCAGCAGUAGGACAUUUCCAGCUCUUAGGAAUAGAAAGGAGGACUGCUGACUGUCUGGCGCUGUAUAAAAAUGUGUAUACCAAUUUGGGAAUAGGGGAACCCAGUCAUGGAUGGAUAAUAAGCCAAGUCUUGAAUCAUUCCUAUCAAGAUUAGUAUACAUGAGGAAGAGGUGGCAUGGGGGGAAGGGGCUCUGGGAGUUCAGAGCUGAGUACUUGUACCUGAGGGAGGGCCCCCAGCCAAUCUGGGCUGGUCCUUCUAUAUUCUUGGUCCCAGUUGGUCAUAACACCAAGGGCUUUGCCCUGCGCUGCUUUGCCACUGCUGCUGUCCGCUCACUGUCCUGCCUGCUGUCCUCUACAGCUCCCUAUCCUUCCAUGUCUUUGGCCAUGUAGAUUAAGUGUAGGCGUCCGGUUCAUUCUUACCUGUGUUAGGCCAUGUUAUUUUAUAGCGAAGUCAUGUUCGAUAGGGAUGGUAUGAAAUGCUGCUGGUGGGCUGGUAAAUCCAAAGGGAUAAGGCUUCAGUGCUGUUGGGAGCCCUCUGGCUCCAAAUGUCUGACUAUCUUGAGGGAGAAACAAGCAGGUUUCUACUAGUGGUGUCUUCUGUUGUAUUAACUUCUUUCCUUUGUGGUAUCUUGUAUCCUGUUUUAAAAACUAAAUGAAGGGAACCACAUUAGGGCCCAUGCCAGCAUCCCAGUGAAGUUCGUCCAGCUCCAGUUAGGUGGAUUCUGGAGUUCGGAGAGGGUUUAAAGUUUGGCUGAAAUAGCACCUCAAGUGGGGUUUAGUUUUAUUUUUACCUGCGGGCAUCAUGGGCGAUUUAGGGGGAAGCACAGGAUGGUGGUGUGGUUUAAACCUGCAGCAAGCAGGCAUGUUGAAGAGUUGAGUGAUCACGCUGGAGAUGAAGGGUUGGACAUGGAUUGACUGGGAAAAGGCCUGGGUCCAUUGGAGUAAAGAUAACCUAGUCGAUUGAAUUGGCCAUGGGAAGUUAGGUCACAGUCUUAUAAACAAAGUAAAUAGGACAGAGACUAAGUUUUAGGGAGACAUCUUGGCCUCCUAGGCUAAGUUUACUAAACCACACUGAAGCUAUAGUACCUUCCAGAUGGGCAAAAGUGUACACUACAGUUGAGGAGCUGAACCUUAUUAGGUUGGAUGUCGAUCAGGAACCUGUUUGCCCUUUGCUGGGAAGCCUUCACUCUCCAGCUUUCCUGGGGUAGGGAAGGUCUCCCACAUUAUGCAAUAAUAAAAUAAGCAUCUGGGUCUUUGCAGCUGUCAGUUGCUCUUUCAACUCUAGGAUCCAUCUUUGGACCAGAAGCCUGGUCUGUGCCUAGGAUGACACUGGCCCCAGAGAUGCUAGAGUCGACUGCACUCUCUCCUUAGCUGCAGACCAUGCACAGUGCCUGGGGCGGAAGGAGGAGAGGUGUUGCGGUUUGCCCUGCUGCCUCCCCAGCAGGAACAAUAGUCAUAAAUGCACUUUUCACACUAAAGGUUUCUUUAUUAGUUCUCCAGUUAAACCUAGAUCCCUCCCUGGUAGAUUGCGAACUCAAAGUUUUGUGAUCCCAAAGCCAUUCCACUGCAAAUGCCCAGCAGUGAAGAUGGCCUCAAAUUGGGUUCUUGCCUGCAGUGUGUGUGGCAGCAGCCCAUGUGCCUUUACCUGUUGUCAAACUUGCAAGCAUUUAUUUGUCUUUAUGACUGUCAUGGGGACUGAGGUUCUUCAGAGAAAGAGUGUGAGCUGAUGACACAGUGGUUUUACACCCACCCCCUGGGCAGGGAGUUUGCACGUAGUUGUGAGCUGUGAGUGGUUAGUGCAUUGCUGGUAUUGCUGAAGGCAGGGUUGAUCCCUCACUUGACUGAUACUUGCAUUCAAGAGAAUCUAGAUUGUGUUGGGGGAGGGACUGACUGUACUCAUGGCUAACUUAAAGUAUUAAAAUAAGGCUGUCCCCUACAACCUUCUUAGUCACACAGGAUCCCUGUAGCCAAAACAGUAUAUGAUCCAGCUGCAGAGAGCAGACUGCUCUCAGCUUGCACAGCACCUUAGGCGAGGGAAGAAUAUACGGAUAGGGAAUGGGGUGGAGAAAGGAUGGGAAUGUUGUCAUCCAGGUGGCUUUAGGGUCCUAAGGAGUGGAGAAGGAUGGCACUGGGGAGGUCUGGAUGGAUCUGUGUAGGAGUUCCCUGUAGAUAAAUUACUGAUCCCCCAUCUACUAUCCCCAGUAUGUAAUGGCUGAAUUAAUAUGUAAUCAACUGCAUUGUAUCUAAAGCCUUAGAACUAGUCAGGUGCUCCCUCCACCCAAUACCAUUUCUUACCCUCUAAUCCUACCUGAUCUUUAACAAAGCAUUAAUAAUUCUAAGGAUAAUCUCUAUUUUGUUGUGCUUUUUUGUAACUGUUUUAAAUAAAUCAAUUUGUACUGUAUAUUUGUACUUUUGUGAGAUCCUUUUUGCUGUUUUACCAUUUUAAGUCUCUGUACUUGGCUACACACAGAUUGUAUUUUUAUUGUUAAUGCUCUUCUUAUGGAUACCUGCAUUUAACUUGUGGACUAUGUAAACACAAUAUCUAUCAAUAUCUAUAUAUCUAUAUAUCUAUCUAUAUAAACUACUAGCUUUUC